AAGUCGUAACAAGGUUUCCGUAGGUGAACCUGCGGAAGGAUCAUUAUCGAACGAAUCGUAGAGUCGGUUGUCGCUGGCCCCUCUCUGCUGGGCAUGUGCACGCCUUCUCUUUCAUCCACACACACCUGUGCACUCGUGAAGACGGAAGUGCCCUCGGGCGUCUGUCUGCUCCACAUAAAAUCAUUAUAUAUAUUGAAUGUAAUCGAUGUAACACAUCUUUGAACUAAGUUUCAACAACGGAUCUCUUGGCUCUCGCAUCGAUGAGGAACGCAGCGAAAUGCGAUAAGUAAUGUGAAUUGCAGAAUUCAGUGAAUCAUCGAAUCUUUGAACGCACCUUGCGCUCCUUGGUAUUCCUUGGAGCAUGCCUGUUUGAGUAUCAUGAAAUCUUCAAGAUAGAUCUUUCGUUCGUUCGAUUGAUUUUAUUUUGGACUUGGAGGUCUUGCAGAUUCUCAUGUCUGCUCCUCUUAAAUGCAUUAGCUGGAUCUCCGUGAGCUAGCUCGGUUCCGCUCGGCGUGAUAAGUAAUCGCUCGCCGAGGACACCGUAAAAAGUGGGCCGGGUNCNNNGAUGAACCGCUUCCAACCGUCCAUUGGUUUGGACGANUGAACUUUNCACGAUCUGAUCUCAAAUCAGGUAGGAAUACNNNNNNAACUUAAGCAUAUCAAUAAG
rnacentral:misc_RNA from 1 species